UGCGCGCGAGCCCCGGCCGCCGCUCCGGCUCCCGCGCCGGGCGAGGACGCAUCGGGCGCUUCGGGAGGGAGCCUGCCUCAGCGCUCGUAUAUGGCAAAGUUUCUCGCCGAGCUCCUGGGCUGCACGUUGCCGAGCAAGGGCGCCUCUCCCAUGUUUGAGUCCAAAAGUCACUCCCGAGUUGGCCUGAAAUCAAGCACGAAGCAAAAGACCACCAUUUUCAGCACAUUGGCCAGCGAAAAGUCCUUAUCUGACUGCAAAAAGG